rnacentral:rRNA from 1 species
CAGCAGCCACGGGAAUACGAAGGGGGCUAGCGUUGUUCGGAUUUACUGGGCGUAAAGCGCACGUAGGCGGAUCCUUAAGUCAGAGGUGAAAUCCCAAGGCUCAACCUUGGAACUGCCUUUGAUACUGGGGAUCUCGAGUCCGGGAGAGGUGAGUGGAACUGCGAGUGUAGAGGUGAAAUUCGUAGAUAUUCGCAAGAACACCAGUGGCGAAGGCGACUCACUGGCCCGGUACUGACGCUGAGGUGCGAAAGCGUGGGGAGCAAACAGGAUUAGAUACCCCAGUAGUCCCUGUCUCUUAUAC